rnacentral:lncRNA from 1 species
GUCAAUGGAGAGCAGAAACUGUAUCGGGAUUUACUUUUUUCACACUUAAAAGGUGAAAAUGUGUGUCUGCAUUGGCCGGGAAUCGAACCCGGGCCUCCCGCGCGGGAGCCGAAAAUAGUUAAGCUUAACUUCCCUUAACUUUUCCCAUUCAUUCUCUAUGGUAGUGCUUAUCACUACGGAUGCAAUAUAUGUGUGGCCACGCGUAGAUUUCGUGGCGCUGUUUCGCCUCUUCCGUGGCGGGGAAUUCAAACAGCGGACAGUCAUCUGUCAAUCAUUCGCUGUGAAGGAGAGGAGACGCGUCUUACGAGCGGAGAUUUCUUCACAAAAUUGUUUUGUUUGAACAACAUACGCCGCUAAACUACCUCGGCUUUAACUAUUACGUAAUUGAUAUGUUAUUUGUUGCAAGAAGUCUUAGGAUUAUACCUCAAUAUGUGUUUUUUGUUUGUUUGUUUGUUUUUUUACCUCAGAGAUCAGCGCGAUACUCUCACCAAGCAGGAAUGUUUAGAUGAUGCAUGCUCUGACAAGAAGAAGCAUCCCACAGAGCAGGUCACCCCAAAGACUGUCUCACUUCACCAUAACAUCACACCAGGCACUUUGACAGUGAAGGAUCAAAGGUAAGAAGUGUUACUUCCAGAUGCAUACAGACACUAAUGUGUGUAAACUGUCAGUCUCAUAUGUGCACACAACACAAAGACAAAUAAUUCAAGUAAUCAUGUUAAUCUUAUGUAGAACACAACACCAUUAGGCCAUAGCUGCGUCCCCCCAUUCAGCUUGCACUGGACCCCUCAGAACGGGUGGCCUUUGUGUUGGACCAUAAAUGGACAGAUCUGAUGAGAACUGCCCAUGAUCCAAGCUCUUGAUUCCGUAAAGUUUUUGAUUCGAUUUCGAUUAAUUUGGUCCAUUUUGCUUUGCAUAUUCUUAUAUAUAUAAAUUUUUUUUUUUCUUCUUCCUGUGUUCUCUAUAACUUUAAAUUGUUUUAUUUUUACUAUUAUUGUAGUUGUUGUUGUUGUUGUUUAAUCUAAAAUUUUAAAUUAAUUUAUUUCCAUUUGUUAAUUUAAAUACCAGAAGUAUUGUUUGCACUGUACUUUAGUGUGUUUUUUAAAUUAAUUGUAUUGACUUGCAUUGUUAUUUUAUCUUGCUCAGUUUUGUAAACACUAAAUGUUAGUAACUGCUAUUAUUAAACUCUGUAAAUAAUUAUUUAAUUUAAAAUACUCUACCAGUCAAAUGUUUUUCAGCAGUAAGAUUUUAAUGUUUUUUUUAAAGAAGUCUCUUCUUAAUAAUAAUAAUAAUAAUAAUAAUAAUAAUAAUAAAUGUUACUUGAGCAGCAAAUCAUCAUAUUAGAAUGAUUUCUGAAGAUCAUGUGACACUGAAGACUGGAGUAAUGAUGCUGAAAAUACAGCUGCACAUCACAGAAAUAAAUUACAUUUUACAAUAUAUUCAAAUAGAAAGCUGUUAUUUUAAAUAGUAAAAAUAUUUCACAAUAUUAUUGCUUUUACUGUAUUUUGGAUCAAAUAAAGGCAGGCUUGGUGAGCAUUAAAAUUCUUACUGUUCAAAAACAUUUAACUGGUAGUGUACAUUGAUUCUUGUUUUACUGUAUUUUGGAUCAAAUAAAGGCAGGCUUGGUGAGCAUUAAAAUUCUUACUGUUCAAAAACAUUUAACUGGUAGUGUACAUUGAUUCUUGUUUUUUUUUUUUUUUUUUCUGUGUUCUCCACAACUUUAGAUUUUAUUAUUGUUGUUGUUGCUGUUGUUGAAUCUAUACAUUUAAAUAGUUUCAUUUAUUUCCCUUUGUUAAUUAAAAUACCAAAAGUAUUUGGCCUUGUUUGAACUGUAUUGAACUGUGUAAGUUUUUUAUUAUUAUUGAUUGAAACAUGUAUACAUUUUGUUGAUUAUUUUUUUAUUGAUAUUGCAUUUUAUUGACUUGCAUUAAUAUCUUGCUCAGAUUUGUAAACACAAAAUGUUAAUAACUGUUACUAUUAAACAUACAUAAUUAUUUAAUGUCACAAAUAUUUUUCUUGUUUCUUUUUUCUUAGUUCUCCACAUCUUUAUUUGUA